UAGGGAAUCUUCGGCAAUGGACGGAAGUCUGACCGAGCAACGCCGCGUGAGUGAAGAAGGUUUUCGGAUCGUAAAACUCUGUUGUUAGAGAAGAACAAGGAUGAGAGUAGAAUGUUCAUCCCUUGACGGUAUCUAACCAGAAAGCCACGGCUAACUACGUGCCAGCAGCCGCGGUAAUACGUAGGUGGCAAGCGUUGUCCGGAUUUAUUGGGCGUAAAGCGAGCGCAGGCGGUUUCUUAAGUCUGAUGUGAAAGCCCCCGGCUCAACCGGGGAGGGUCAUUGGAAACUGGGAGACUUGAGUGCAGAAGAGGAGAGUGGAAUUCCAUGUGUAGCGGUGAAAUGCGUAGAUAUAUGGAGGAACACCAGUGGCGAAGGCGGCUCUCUGGUCUGUAACUGACGCUGAGGCUCGAAAGCGUGGGGAGCAAACAGG
rnacentral:rRNA from 1 species